CAGCGUCUGGGUAGAUCGGUAUGUCAUGCGAGGUGGAAGAUCUAAAGCUGUGUGCCUGGGGACCCGAGAUCUUUGGGCACAGAGCUCGGAAAAAGCGAUGCAAUGGAUUUUUAGCAUUGUAAACCAACGAGUUGUUUGUUACGUCUCCCCUCUUGCUGUGAAACAGAGACACCUCCUUCUCCCUUAUUAGGGUGAGAGAGAGCCUGAGUCCUGAUGAAGGGUCUUGGCCCAAAACACUGACUGCUUACUCCUUUGCAGAGAUGCUGCCUGACCUGCUGAGUCCUUCCAGCAUUUUGUGCCCCUGUAUAAAGGAGACCUGCGGCCUGAAGAUCGGCCUCAGUCUCCAGGACCUUGUAUGAUAGACACUCACUCCUGGUUCCUUCUUCCAG